AGAAUAGAAAAAUGGCUACUACUCUAAAGAAAAUGGAGCAUUUGCUGACAUGUAAGGAUUGUACUGAUUCGGUGACCAGAUGUCAGGGUAGGAUUGAGUUGACAAAGCUCAAGAUGAAAAGGGUACGAAGAUUAAGAAGCACAAGGUCAACUCCAAUACUUGUAAGAACUGGAGAAGAAAGUACCACACCGUACUCGAAACCCAAACGAGAUAUUAUUGAUCUUAUUGACGAGGAGGAAACGA